UACGUAGGGUGCAAGCGUUGUCCGGAUUUAUUGGGCGUAAAGAGCGUGUAGGCGGCCAGACAGGUCCGUUGUGAAAACUCGAGGCUCAACCUCGAGAUGUCGAUGGAAACCGUCUGGCUAGAGUCCGGAAGAGGAGUGUGGAAUUCCUGGUGUAGCGGUGAAAUGCGCAGAUAUCAGGAAGAACACCGAUGGCGAAGGCAGCACUCUGGGACGGUACUGACGCUGAGACGCGAAAGCGUGGGGAGCGAACAGG
rnacentral:rRNA from 1 species